UACGUAGGGGGCUAGCGUUGUCCGGAUUUACUGGGCGUAAAGGGCGCGUAGGCGGCGUGGUAAGUCACUUGUGAAAUCUCCGGGCUUAACUCGGAACGGUCAAGUGAUACUGCUGUGCUAGAGUGCGGAAGGGGCAACUGGAAUUCUCGGUGUAGCGGUGAAAUGCGUAGAUAUCGAGAGGAACACCUGCGGCGAAGGCGGGUUGCUGGGCCGACACUGACGCUGAGGCGCGAAAGCUAGGGGAGCGAACGGG
rnacentral:rRNA from 1 species